GCCGCCUCUGUCUGUUUUACAAGCUGCAGUUGAGUUCCAAUCCAAAUCACCCCAAGUAGCGUAACAAUGGGAUAACUACACUCUGGGGGAUUGCUAUAUUCACACUAUACUCCCCAAGGUAAGCUCUUGUAAGAGCUGUUCUUGUUCCUGCUACGCUCUCUGGAGGAAGAGAGGUCUGCCCACUGGAAGCUGGAUCCUGGCCUUGGGUCCAGGGUGGGUGAAGGACGGCGAGACCCUGGCGCAGCUUCAUCGCUGGAAGUGGGGUCUGCAGUGCUGAUGGUGUCGGUGGAGUCCUCGGCAAGCACUAGGAGCAUUAAUUGGCGGAGUUACUCGGUCGGAGUGCCAGCGGUCCGUCACACAUGGCAAUGAUGGUCACGGUGGAAUUAACAUAUUGGGCUGACGCAGCUUUACCUCCAGGCUCAAUCCCCAGUAAUAGACCCAUGAUUACAGAUUUAAAAAAGGAAAGUAUCACUCCUCCCCAUCAUGCUCUAUAAUUCAGCGUGGAUUGUGGAGAUGCCAUUUCUAAUGUCCCCUUAUCGCUACAUUUACUACAUUCUUUUCUUUCAUUCUCUGACAGUGUGACAUGCCCCCUCUCUGCCACACUCAC